UGUUUCCACUUCAACGGUGCCGUGCCGUAUUGUACAACACGGCGUAAUUUGCCGGAUUUGCAGAUCGAUCAGCAAGCCAUUUUCAGAGCACGGCACACGGUUUUUUCACUUCUGGCCAAUCACAGUCCAGAUAAAUUACGUCAUUGCCCACAUAUUUUCUGAUCAAGCGACAAAUCGCCUGCGGUGAUAGUCUAUGGGAGUUUACGUGUUAAAUGCAAAAUCGCACAUACACGUAGGUCUACGUGUAUUAUUACCUGCUGAAGAGAGGUGACUGAAGGAGCUAGGACUUGCCUGAUCUUGCAAUUCUUGGUCUGAUAACCAACAUGGAGGAAGCCCUUAUCCUAGAAGUGUAGGAAAAUCCAAUCCUGUAUGACAAGAGAUUGGAGAUGUUCAAGGAUACAGAAGUAAAAAAAUGAUGCAUGACAUGACAUUGGGCGUCAGCUUGUAAUCUCAGGUGACGUAGCGAGUUGAGGGACAACUUCCUAAAAAACGACAGAAAUGGAGAAGAAGAGUGGUGACGGAACUCCCUCAAAUGCAGCACGUAAAUACAAGUACAGUGAGGCAAUGGAAUUCCUACUUCCCCACAUACAUAAUCGAGAAACAAGUUCAAUCUUGGAUCCUGUGUUUGAUGUGGACACACCAGGAGAAGCCUGUACCAAACAGGAAGAAACUGAGCAGGAGAAUGGUGACAUCUGUCCACAACGUGGGUCAGGCUUCAUCGUCAUCGUCCUCAGGCACGUCCGCAACAUCAGUCCAGUCUUCAAGUCCCAAAUUCACUUCAAAUCGAGGAGACAAUGUUGCAGUAUUUUCAAAGCAGCGAUAGUCAUGGUGACAACAUAACUGUAGAUCCAUUUUUUUCCAGCUUGUCCCCCAUUGUCCCACACUGUAAAAGUUACCUCAAUGCCAGCUCCAUUGCAAUGCGGUUAAAUUUUGGUCUUCUGAACAUUGAACAUACUACUAUAGGAAUUAAAAGUUCUGUGUCUUCUAAAUCUAAGUCGAUUCCUAUUGAUGUGAUAAACGUCUCACAUGUUACAAUUUAAGAAUCCAAAUAUGUUUCGUAGAUUAAAAAAAAAAGUUAACAGAAAAUGUUCUAACUUGCUAUGCUCCACCGCUAAAAAGAGAGCUGAUAUCUCGUUCCCUCUGACAUCACUCAAUAUUCAUCUGAUUGUUAGCUAACAAAGGGACAGUGGUUUGCAGUUUGCCAGAGCUAACAACCUGUUAAUAGUCUCAACAUAAAAGAUGCAAUGUCAGACAUGCAGCAUCACCAACAAAUGGAAAGCGAUGUAUAUAUGAUUACAUCUGAAUGACUUAUGAUAAAUCCAUAUGAAAUAAAUCAUAAAAUGUGCUAUUCUAAUUUCCGCUUGAAUUUUUCACUUUAACGUCUCUCAUUGUUACAGUUGCAAGUCAGUCUCAAUUUGCAGAAAUUACGAUUGUAAAGGAUUAUGAUCUUCCUCUUUUGUAGAUCUCGGAAAUAUCGGCUGAACAU